UACGGAGGGGGCGAGUGUUGUUCGGAAUUACUGGGCGUAAAGGGCGCGUAGGCGGCCAUCUAAGUCAGACGUGAAAUCCCCCGGCUUAACCUGGGAACUGCGUCUGAUACUGGACGGCUUGAGUAUGGGAGAGGGAUGUAGAAUUCCAGGUGUAGCGGUGAAAUGCGUAGAUAUCUGGAGGAAUACCGGUGGCGAAGGCGGCAUCCUGGACCGGCAUGACGCUGAGGAGCGAAAGCUAGGGGAGCAAACGGGG
rnacentral:rRNA from 1 species